rnacentral:rRNA from 1 species
UACGGGGGGAGCAAGCGUUGUUCGGAUUUACUGGCGUAAAGGGCGCGUAGGCGGUCAGCACAAGUCAGUUGUGAAAUCUCCGGGCUUAACUCGGAAAGGUCAACUGAUACUGUGCGACUAGAGUGCGGAAGGGGGCAACUGGAAUUCUCGGUGUAGCGGUGAAAUGCGUAGAUAUCGAGAGGAACACCUGCGGCGAAGGCGGGUUGCUGGGCCGACACUGACGCUGAUGCGCGAAAGCCAGGGGAGCGAACGGG